AGUCGCAGAUACCAGCUGGCUGCAACUGUUUAAUAAAAACACAGCACUGUGCAAACACGAAAGUGGACGUAUACGGUGUGACGCCUGCCCGGUGCUGGAAGGUUAAUUGAUGGGGUCAGCCGCAAGGCGAAGCUCUUGAUCGAAGCCCCAGUAAACGGCGGCCGUAACUAUAACGGUCCUAAGGUAGCGAAAUUCCUUGUCG
rnacentral:rRNA from 1 species